rnacentral:rRNA from 1 species
ACGGGAGGCAGCAGUGGGGAAUAUUGCACAAUGGGCGCAAGCCUGAUGCAGCCAUGCCGCGUGUAUGAAGAAGGCCUUCGGGUUGUAAAGUACUUUCAGCGGGGAGGAAGGCGACAAGGUUAAUAACCUUGUCGAUUGACGUUACCCGCAGAAGAAGCACCGGCUAACUCCGUGCCAGCAGCCGCGGUAAUACGGAGGGUGCAAGCGUUAAUCGGAAUUACUGGGCGUAAAGCGCACGCAGGCGG